rnacentral:rRNA from 1 species
GGAUCAUCAGGUUGGUCGUGCCUCUGGUAUGUACUUUCCUCGAUGGUUCCUCCUUCUUGAAGAUCCGUAAUGUCAUUAAUUUGGUGUUGCGGGGAAUCAGGACUGUUACUUUGAAAAAAUUAGAGUGUUUAAAGCAGGCAAUCGCUUGAAUACAUUAGCAUGGAAUAAUGAAAUAGGACGUUCGAUCCUAUUUUGUUGGUUUCUAGAGUCGCCGUA